rnacentral:rRNA from 1 species
UACGGGGGGGGCAAGCGUUGUUCGGAAUUACUGGGCGUAAAGGGCUCGUAGACGGCCAACUAAGUCCGACGUGAAAUCCCCAGGCUUAACCUGGGAACUGCGUCGGAUACUGGAUGGCUUGAAUUCGGGAGAGGGAUGCAGAAUUCCAGGUGUAGCGGUGAAAUGCGUAGAUAUCUGGAGGAAUACCGGUGGCGAAGGCGGCAUCCUGGACCAAUAUUGACGCUGAGGAGCGAAAGCCAGGGGAGCAAACGGG